CUUUUGUCAGCAAUAAAUAUACUAAAACUGAAACAAUACAAAGAAGGGUGGCAUGGCCUCCAUGCAAUGAUGACACAAAUUCAAGAAACGUUCAAUUUUUUA